AGCAACAACAUUCAUUUUAAAAAAAAUGUCAAGCAACCGAAAUUACAAAACGAGAUCGAAAUAUCAGGCUGGAAUCAUUUUCUGAUUAAUAUCGCAUGUGCAUUUGAAAUAAAGUUGUGUAAACCAUUUUGACGAAAUCAAUUGAAUUAUAUUUGACGAUGGCAGCACCACGCCGAAAGGAAUCGGAAAAUUUAAAUGACUUAUUAGCCGAGGUGAUCGGAUUGCGUCGUGCGGCUAAGGAAGAAUAUGGAAAGAAACUCAAAAAAUAUUUUGAAAAUCGUAUCAAAUAUACGCGACAAGGAGUAUUUGAUGGUGUUAGACUGCCAGAAAUUCAACACAAACCAAUACAAUUAAGUGGAAAUCUUCAGGAGACUACUGAGCUAGUUCAAAAGGCUCAAUUCAAUUCCGAACAAUAUUUUUACGCCAAAGAAACAAGCCAACAUUUGAACGAUCAACUUACACAAGUAGCAGAAUCGCUACAUAAGGUUAUGGAAAUUGAACAAAGUUUUCGAGAAUAAUAAAUUUGUUUGAUGAACAAAGUAAA